UUGUGGAAUUAAAUCGCUCUCUUUGCCCAUUUGUAGUACUAUGUCUUGGUGUGCAAAAGAAGAUUUGUAUAUUUAUGGCCCUAUUGUGUAUGGCGACUGAUAGCCGAUGGGCAACCGUAUACUAAAAUUCGCAUUACGUAUGGCUACUGGCUACUGAAUCUAGUAGCGAAA